rnacentral:rRNA from 1 species
GACGAACGCUGGCGGCGUGCUUAACACAUGCAAGUCGAACGGAAAGGCCCUGCUUUUGUGGGGUGCUCGAGUGGCGAACGGGUGAGUAACACGUGAGUAACCUGCCCUUGACUUUGGGAUAACUUCAGGAAACUGGGGCUAAUACCGGAUAGGAGCUCCUGCUGCAUGGUGGGGGUUGGAAAGUUUCGGCGGUUGGGGAUGGACUCGCGGCUUAUCAGCUUGUUGGUGGGGUAGUGGCUUACCAAGGCUUUGACGGGUAGCCGGCCUGAGAGGGUGACCGGCCACAUUGGGACUGAGAUACGGCCCAGACUCCUACGGGAGGCAGCAGUGGGGAAUAUUGCACAAUGGGCGGAAGCCUGAUGCAGCAACGCCGCGUGCGGGAUGACGGCCUUCGGGUUGUAAACCGCUUUCGCCUGUGACGAAGCGUGAGUGACGGUAAUGGGUAAAGAAGCACCGGCUAACUACGUGCCAGCAGCCGCGGUGAUACGUAGGGUGCGAGCGUUGUCCGGAUUUAUUGGGCGUAAAGGGCUCGUAGGUGGUUGAUCGCGUCGGAAGUGUAAUCUUGGGGCUUAACCCUGAGCGUGCUUUCGAUACGGGUUGACUUGAGGAAGGUAGGGGAGAAUGGAAUUCCUGGUGGAGCGGUGGAAUGCGCAGAUAUCAGGAGGAACACCAGUGGCGAAGGCGGUUCUCUGGGCCUUUCCUGACGCUGAGGAGCGAAAGCGUGGGGAGCGAACAGGCUUAGAUACCCUGGUAGUCCACGCUGUAAACGGUGGGUACUAGGUGUGGGGUCCAUUCCACGGGUUCCGUGCCGUAGCUAACGCUUUAAGUACCCCGCCUGGGGAGUACGGCCGCAAGGCUAAAACUCAAAGGAAUUGACGGGGCCCCGCACAAGCGGCGGAGCAUGCGGAUUAAUUCGAUGCAACGCGUAGAACCUUACCUGGGUUUGACAUGGAUCGGGAGUGCUCAGAGAUGGGUGUGCCUCUUUUGGGGUCGGUUCACAGGUGGUGCAUGGCUGCCGUCAGCUCGUGUCGUGAGAUGUUGGGUUAAGUCCCGCAACGAGCGCAACCCUUGUUCACUGUUGCCAGCACGUUAUGGUGGGGACUCAGUGGAGACCGCCGGGGUCAACUCGGAGGAAGGUGGGGAUGACGUCAAGUCAUCAUGCCCCUUAUGUCCAGGGCUUCACGCAUGCUACAAUGGCUGGUACAGAGAGUGGCGAGCCUGUGAGGGUGAGCGAAUCUCGGAAAGCCGGUCUCAGUUCGGAUUGGGGUCUGCAACUCGACCUCAUGAAGUCGGAGUCGCUAGUAAUCGCAGAUCAGCAACGCUGCGGUGAAUACGUUCCCGGG